AUUUGAAGAGCUUGCUCAGAUAUGACGAUGGACAUUGCAAAGAGUGGCGAACGGGUGAGUAACACGUGGGAAACCUACCUCUUAGCAGGGGAUAACAUUUGGAAACAGAUGCUAAUACCGUAUAACAAUGACAACCGCAUGGUUGUUAUUUAAAAGAUGGUUCUGCUAUCACUAAGAGAUGGUCCCGCGGUGCAUUAGCUAGUUGGUAAGGUAAUGGCUUACCAAGGCGAUGAUGCAUAGCCGAGUUGAGAGACUGAUCGGCCACAAUGGGACUGAGACACGGCCCAUACUCCUACGGGAGGCAGCAGUAGGGAAUCUUCCACAAUGGGCGAAAGCCUGAUGGAGCAACGCCGCGUGUGUGAUGAAGGGUUUCGGCUCGUAAAACACUGUUGUAAGAGAAGAAUGACAUUGAGAGUAACUGUUCAAUGUGUGACGGUAUCUUACCAGAAAGGAACGGCUAAAUACGUGCCAGCAGCCGCGGUAAUACGUAUGUUCCAAGCGUUAUCCGGAUUUAUUGGGCGUAAAGCGAGCGCAGACGGUUAUUUAAGUCUGAAGUGAAAGCCCUCAGCUCAACUGAGGAAUUGCUUUGGAAACUGGAUGACUUGAGUGCAGUAGAGGAAAGUGGAACUCCAUGUGUAGCGGUGAAAUGCGUAGAUAUAUGGAAGAACACCAGUGGCGAAGGCGGCUUUCUGGACUGUAACUGACGUUGAGGCUCGAAAGUGUGGGUAGCAAACAGGAUUAGAUACCCUGGUAGUCCACACCGUAAACGAUGAGUGCUAGGUGUUUGAGGGUUUCCGCCCUUAAGUGCCGCAGCUAACGCAUUAAGCACUCCGCCUGGGGAGUACGACCGCAAGGUUGAAACUCAAAGGAAUUGACGGGGACCCGCACAAGCGGUGGAGCAUGGGUUUAAUUCGAAGCAACGCGAAGAACCUUACCAGGUCUUGACAUCCCUUGACAACUCCAGAGAUGGAGCGUUCCCUUCGGGGACAAGGUGACAGGUGGUGCAUGGUUGUCGUCAGCUCGUGUCGUGAGAUGUUGGGUUAAGUCCCGCAACGAGCGCAACCCUUAUUACUAGUUGCCAGCAUUCAGUUGGGCACUCUAGUGAGACUGCCGGUGACAAACCGGAGGAAGGUGGGGAUGACGUCAAAUCAUCAUGCCCCUUAUGACCUGGGCUACACACGUGCUACAAUGGCGUAUACAACGAGUUGCCAACCCGCGAGGGUGAGCUAAUCUCUUAAAGUACGUCUCAGUUCGGAUUGUAGGCUGCAACUCGCCUACAUGAAGUCGGAAUCGCUAGUAAUCGCGGAUCAGCACGCCGCGGUGAAUACGUUCCCGGGUCUUGUACACACCGCCCGUCACACCAUGAGAGUUUGUAACACCCAAAGCCGGUGGGGUAA
rnacentral:rRNA from 1 species